rnacentral:lncRNA from 1 species
UUUAAAUCUGUAAGCUGUCUUUACUUUUGAAGAUCUUUCAAGUUGGUAAAGUUGCUUCCUUUUCAUUGAUAUAUUCAUGUAUUCAAGAUUGAUGUUAAGGCUACCCGGAGGUGUGUCCAUGUAUGUGUGUUAAUAUAUAUGGCCAAUGGAUGCUCAGUGGAUUCUUUGUGAAACCUUGAGCAAAUUGCACUACUCUUUCAAAUAAAGACAGUUUUAUUUUUCCUUAGUCCAGCCUGGUUAGCCUGCAUUUUUAGCAUUCUCACAAGAGAUUCUGUGGAGGCCCCAAGCCAACAAUUACUUGUUGGUUAUUUUUAAAGGCAAUAAAGUGAGAAAAAGAAAAAAUAACCAUCAGAAGUAGCUAACUUUGCUAUGUUUUUUUUUUUUCAGUGAAAAUUGCUCUGAUGGGCUUUUGGGAUUCUUUUCUCACUCAUUCACAACCGAAGCUGUCAUUUUUAGUCAGCCAAUCCCAAGAGUUUGUUCAUUAUAUGAAGGAAAUAUGUUUAAGUGUUCACAGGCAGUGCAGUGAGGAUUUCCAUAAGGUCUGUAUCUCUGGUGAGAUAUUUCACAUUGUGUUUUUUAACCUGUAUGAGGUAUACCAAGGUCUCCUAUUUUAUCCUAUUGAGAUAAAAGCUAAAGCCCAUGUUUUCAUAAAGUGCUUCAUAUAUGCUUUUUAAGGUAGUGAUUAGAAUAUCUAUAUACACAUUCAUACUUAGUGGAAGUCAUUAGUAAGUGCAGUGUGUCUAAAAUUUGGACCUAGAAACUUUACAAAGGUGGAAGCCUAAAUAAGGAGUUUCAGAGUUUUAACUGUUUUAAUGGUUCUCUCUCUAUAGACAUGGAGAGGAAAUGAGCCGGAAGAAUGGAUCCCUCGGACAUACCAAGACUUAGAAGGUCUGCCAUGUAUAGUGAUAUUAACUGGCAAAGACCCUCUUGGAGAAACCUUUCCCAGGUAUAGUCUGAAUAACCGAACUCUGCUUGCCACCAGGUGGCAGCUGCACUGAUGAUUAAAACUUGGCUGAUGCAUGCUUAUUAGUCUGAGGUAAUGAGAAGAAGGUUGUUUCAUUCAGGGAUGUAAGAAUACAGCUUUCCUUCCUUGUCUCUUUCCACUUUCCAGAGAGCACCCUCCAAUUCUGGGAAUGGAGAGAGCCACAUUUUAAAAUGUUUGUGCAUGAAAGCAAGGCAGCCAGAGAGGCUGAGAGGAAAAGCAGAGUUUUUUGUUUUGUUUUGUUGUUGUUUGGUACUGAAGACUGAACCUAGAGUCACUUUCCCACUGGCCCUUUUAUUCAUUGUUUUAAUUCAAAAAUUUAUUUUAUUUUAUUUUUCUAGUUAUCAAUGGACCUUUUUAAAAAUUUAUUUAUAUGUGGUGCUGAGGAUCGAACCCAGUGCCUCACACAUUCCAGGCAAGUGCACUACCACUGAGCCACAGCCUCAGCAUUCAAAAUUUUUUUGAGACAGGGAUUCAUUAAGUUGGUGAGGCUGGCUUUGAACUGUCCGUCCUCCUGCUUCAGCCUCCUGAGUAGCUUUGUUUACAGGUGUGCCUCUGCACUGGGCUUUUUUUUUUUUUUUUAACAAAGUACUUUGUCUCUGUUGCUCUGCUAUUCCCAAUCCCAUCAAGGAUCUACGGUGCAGAGUUUGGAAGGCAGCUCUAAUAUAAGCAUCAAUUGGAUGCUUAUGGAGUCCAUCGGGCUGUGCCCUAAAUACAUUAUGUGUUUCAUGCUGUCCUUCCUUGCAGUGACCAUAGUAGGGCUCUGUGUUUUCUAUUUGAAAGAAGAUGAAUUGCAAAGAAGUUCAGGUGGUAAUGUCUGGGAGGUGGCAGAACUGAGGUUUGAAUCAAGGUGUAGCCCUGGUCUUCACUGCUGCAUGACAUACAGGACCUACAGGUCCAGCUUAGACACUGCACACCCAGCCCCAGGGACUCACUACCAAUGCAAUUAAUUCUGUGCAGGUCUUUGAAGUACUGUGACCUCCGGUUAAUUGACUCAAGCUAUUUAACUCGCACGGCCUUGGAGCAGGAGGUGGGUCUGGCCUGCUGCUAUGUCUCAAAAGAGGUCAUCCGAGGGCCCACUUCCGCCCUGGACCUCAGUGGCAAGGAGCCAGAGAGGGCCCCCGUCAUUGAGAAUGACUCUGAGGAGCUGCUCAUUGACCUGGAGCGGCCACAGAGCAACAGCAGCGCUGUCACGGGAACUUCGGGUAGGUACUCUUUCCUUUCUCACAGGAGGGACAGGCCAGGAGGUGUGCAGGUGUGGAAGGCAGAGCUGUUUACGGACCCCUACCGUGCCCAGAGCAGCCAUGGCAACUGUGGCACCCUCUCUAGACCUCAGCUUCCCAGGAGGGCUACCUGGAAAGCAAGGCUGCAGAAUAGUCAUAGCCUACUUCUCUGGGUAAAAAUUUGACCAAGAAUUUGAUAAUAGAUUAAACAGAAUACAUUUUCCCAACCCAGCCUGCACCCCGCUCCCUAGCACUUCCCAUCCUAUCUCCUGUAGUCACUGUACAUCUCAUAUUUGUACAAAAGCCCCCUUUCCUGCCAGGGCCUGAAGCCAUAAGUUUAUGUUGAGUAGCUUACAGCCCGGAACAAAACAUGUUGAGCGAGGGAAUAAAUGACUUUCCUCAAUACUUAGUGGCAAGUGUUCGUAGAGGGCAGGCAUCUCGGGUUGACUGGGAAGAGCCUCCAUGAGCCUGCCGGCCCUUCUUUCAGCAUUCUGAAUGUGGCCUGGCCUGAAUUUCCUUCUGAUAAAUUAUAGGACAGCAAAUCCAGCCCUAUGUUCUAGUCUUUUCUGAUUAUGUUAGUAGUAAAGCCUAAUGUAGAAAACUCAGAGAAUGUAACAAGAUACAGAGAUUCAAAGUGAAACAAUCCAUCGCCAGAGGUAACGCCAGCAACCUCUGAGGCUGCACAUCCCCCAACUCCUUUCCCUUUUUCCUCAACCUAUUAUUUAGAUCAUUUUUUCACACACACACACACACACACAAUAUUUUGUGUCCAAGGCUGUGCUGGUGUUCCUGUUUAUUCUGUCAGCAGCUGUUAGAUGGCUCUCUGGGAACUAAAGAGGCCCUGGCCUGUGGGGUUUUCUGUCCUCGCCACCGAGGGCCUGAAGGAGCAGGAGACCCGCCCUUCUCCCUGUGCACAGCUCUCCCUCCACAGGACCAGCCUGCCCCUGUUUACACUUCCAGCUCCCUCAACCCUAUCACUAUAAGUCUCCCCAAUUUUCCCUCUGAGACUAUCUCAACAUAAAGUCAUAAGAUAGUAAAGGGUAUCAGAGGAGUACAGGGAAAUGUCACCUUUAGGAGCUUUGGGAUUCAGGGGGCAUCAGGAAGGGAAAGGUGGGGAUGGAGGGACACCUGUCUCCCUCCUGCACUUCAGAGCGGAUCUGCGCCAUGUGGCUCCUACACCUCAAGCUCCAGGAGGCUCACACAGAGGAAAUGGUUUUCCCUCUGCUUCUUAGUCUCCUGCCCCACGUUAGUUUUCCUGCUCACAACAUGGGCAUCUGGAACCCCGCCCGUGGGCUCCCUCUGCGGGUGACAGGGCUGAGGGAGUUGUAAAACUCAGAGGAGCAGUGAGUGACUUGGUUUUAAUAGCCACCAGCUCAGGACCUCUCAGGUCUGGAUCUUGCAAGGCUGGGAUUAGACCUACAUGCCUGCACAGCACCAGCCUGAGCUGAAAGAACCUUUAGCCGGAGUAUAAGGAGCUUGUAUUGUCUCAAUCAAACAGGCUGACCUGUUGGGGGGGAAACAACAUACUCAAAGUUAAUUGGCCAAAUGUGGAGGAAUAGCCCUGGGGACGUACAACACCUGGUACUGAGUAAGAAUGCCUUCCAUCCUCUUUUGCACGGGGACAUCCCCACCCUAGGGAGCUUAGCCACAGCCAGCCAUGUGAGAGGCCUGGAGCCCUAAACCCCACCUCAAGGCAGCCACUGCCACUGUAGGGAACUUGAAUCUGGUGCCUGUAUCCACCAGGGUCCUGGAGGGAUCCCGUGUCAUACUGAAUGAGUGGGUUGGAGAAGAGUUUAAUAAUGGGACUGAUUCCCCGUGGGCACAAUUUUGAAAGGGAGCAACAGGUGACAUUGUGCAUGGAAAGUUAACCUGGGAGCCCUGUCCACCAUCAGGCUUGAAGGAAGGCAGGAAGGAGCAGUUACUGAGACCCAAGAAAGAAAGGCCACCCAGGGUGACCACACAGGAAGAAAGUGAGAACCAACUUCUUGCUGGUGUCUCCCAUUGGCCAAACCCAUAAAAAAGGCAAAGCAAGGGAGCAGGCUGGAGCGGUGUGGAGACUCAGGCAAAGGGAAGAUUUAGCACAGAGUCUGCAGCCCACAGAGCUGGGCCAGGAUCCAGCUGCUUUGAGGGCCUUUGCCCUCUCCCUCGGCAACAGUGAUGAGUGGGUGUAGGGAAGGUUCUGUCCGUCGUCUUUCAGGUUCCAUCAUGGAGAAUGGGGUCAGUUCCUCCAGCACAGACAAAUCCCAGAAGCAGUCCCUGACCCCCAGCUUCCAGAGCCCAGCCACCAGUGUGGGGAUGGACGAAGGUGUCUCGGCCAGCACAACUGGAGCUGGGGACCCCCUGAAGCAGGAGUGUGACUCCCUGGGCCCUCCAAUGGCCAGCAGUACCACCUCCAAGCCGUCGUCGUCGUCCUCGGGACCCAGGAGCCUUGCAUGGCCAGGGCAACCUCCCAGAGGCUGUAGGGGCCUACACGCCACCCUGCCCCCAAUCGUGAUCUUAUCCAAAGCAGCCUACAGCCUCUUGGGCUCCCAGAAGGGUGGCAAGCUGCCCUCCUCCUCGUCUCUGCUGCCCCAUGCUGAUGUGGCCUGGGUCAGCUCCCUGCGGCCAUUCCUGCACAAGGACAUGAGCAGCGAGGAGCAGUCCCUCUACUACCGGCAGUGGACCUCGGCUCGGCAGCACCAUGCCGACUUCAGCAACCAGCCCGACCCAGCCUCGGGUGCCCGGACCUUCCACCCCCGGCGGCUGCUGCUCACUGGGCCCCCCCAGGUAGGGACAGGCCAGGCUGAGCCCUGUCCUAGGCUAGGGCUGGCACAUCUUGCAUGUGGAGAGGAACCAGGGGACCUCCUUGGGGUGGGUGGGGGUGGCAGGCCUCGAGGAAAGACCUCCUUCAGGCCCCCGGAGUGAGGCGCCAAGGUGUGAAAUCUCUUUUCUCCUUCCCUUCCUUCUCUUCCCCUCCCCCGCCCUUCCCCAAUUAAAACUAUUUCCAUCAGGUGGGAAAGACUGGCUCCUAUUUACAGUUCCUUAGGAUCCUCUUCCGCAUGCUCAUCCGGCUCCUGGAGGUGGAUGUGUACGAUGAGGAGGAGAUCAAUACUGGUGAGUCCUGAGCCGGGCGGGACACAAACGCAUUAGACACCAAGUGCAGGGAGCUUGCUUUUGCUUUCUGGGGUUUCUAUAAUACCAAACUUGCCCUGCCCUGACAAAGGUUACCAAGGUUGAAGACAGGUAUGCCGGGCAAAUAAUUGUAAGACUGCCCUCUUUCAGUUCCAGGAGGUCAGGAGGACCUCCCUCUCUCCAGUGUCCAGCAAGUACAGGGCAACAGGCAUUUGAUAAAGGCUUGUUAGGCACCUUAAUUCCUAGAUGGCCAAACUCAUAAAAUCCCAACUUGUAGUGUUCAAUUUUGUAAGGAUCCAGGGAACAUUUAUAUUUUUAAUUCCAGUCCUUUGUUGGUUAGCCAGAGUGUAUCUUAUAUUUUAACCUCAGGUUGUGUGUGAAGGUGGAGGAUUACUAUAAGGAAAUGAAAACUUCCUGAGUGUAGAACCGAACACCUAUGCCACCGCUUCCCCUCUGCAACAAGAGACGAUGGAGGGGCUUGAGGGCUGUGGGGUCCAGUGUGCCAAUAAAGAUCUCCUGAGGGCUAGGGGUGUAGCUCUGCUGUGGACCCCUUGCCUAGUGUGCUGUAGGCUCUGGGUUAGAUCCUUGGCAUCAAACCAUAAACCUUUCAUGCUGACAGAAGUUGUGGGAGGCAGCAGAGGGGGCCUGGCAGAAGUUCUUCUGAGUCCCUCAGAGACGAGGACUGCCCUUGACAUCUUCUAUCAAAUCAGUUCUUGGAGAGCUUAUCUCACUUGUUUUUCUUAAAAUAGUUGGGCCUGUUCUAUGAACAGCCCCAAGACUAAUGCAGAUACAAAUAGAUAAAAAUCAGCCACGUUUAAUCAUUUUGUUAUGGCUUUAGCCCUGUACCCAUUCCUCACUAAUCCACAUCUAUGAUUUCAGAGACACACAUACAAUGUCCCCCACCCACAUCUCUUUGUGUCCCCAGCUAAGCUGCAUCAAAUCCCCUGGGGCCCACCACAGAGGAGAAGGAGAGCUUCAGGGUGGCCUCAAAACACCCCAAGCCUUGGAAAGGGGCUGGGACCAAAAAGACAAGCCUUUGGGAGCCAGGGCCCUGUUGUUCCUGCCAGCUCUCCCACCAGGCUCCCUGACAGCACAAGGAAGCGAUGCCUUUGAUUUUUAUCCUCAGAUUGUACAAGAGAGGUCUCAAAUCUUCCUCUGCUCCUGAGGCUGUGGUUGUCCAUCCCAGCCGGUCUGAUGGAAGAGCCUGGGCUUUCUUCGCACUCACUCUAGUGCAGGUUAACACAGUGGUGCUAUGGAGAGGCACAGUGACACUUCCUUAAACUAGAAUAAAACUUGAAAUUUUAAAUAAAAUACAAAAUUCAACUCAAGGCAUAAAAGUACUUGUUUGUGCUAAAAUAAUAACGGCAGCACUUCCAGUCUUUUAGGCUUCAUUUUCCACCAAAGUGUAUUUCUUUCAUUCCCUCUUUAAGCUACUUUUCUUUUUGGGGGGUGGGGGAGGUAGGAUACUAGGGAUUGAACCCAGAGGUGCUUAAACACUGAGCCACAUCCUUAGCCCUUUUUUAAUUUUUUGAGACAGGGUCUUACAAAGUUGGUGAGGUUAACCUUAGCCUCCUGAGUUGCUGGGAUUUCAGGCAUGCACCAUACCUGGCUUAGGCUGCUUUUUGAUCUUACACAUUUUACCAAUAGCAUCAUCUACUAGACACCAACUCUGCCUGCCAUUCCAAGAAACCAUCCCUAAAACUAUAAGAACUCAGGCACUUGGAGGGGUUAAGUUUGGUUCUUAUAGGUGUAAAGCAGUAUUCAAGCCCCAGCCUAACCUUGACCACACAAUGGAAUGAUCUAAGGAGCUCUGGCAGCAUGGUGGGUACCUGGGUAACAAAAGAGAUCCUGCCUUUACUCUUGUGGUGGGUGGGGCCUGAGAGUGGGGUUUCACGAGCUUCCAGGUAAUUUUAAUGUACAGCAGACACUGGCACUCUCAUCUUGAAGUCUCUUGGGUGUCAAUAUCUUAAAACCCCAUAACUAAAACUCUUUUAAGAAUUUAAAUCAUCCAAAUAAACAAGUUGUUUUUUUUUUUUUGGUGUGUGUGUGUGUGUGUGUGUGUGUGUGGGUUUUGGUGGGAAAUUCAGUUGAUCUAAUGGAUGCAAGAGUUUCUGAACUGGAUCUAUAGAGACUAGUGUAGGGGUGAACACUCCUUGCUUGAAGGAAUAAUUAUGGCUUUUUCUGUCCUGGGAUAAUGGGGCUCAUUUUUUCAGAAAUGCUUUGUUUACCCAUCGGGGCUUUAUGCUUCAGAAAACCUCUUCCUGACACUGUGGAGGGAGGGAGGGAGAGAGGGAGGUAGGUUAAUCUGCCUGUUCUGCACACUUCCUUCUUGUCCUAGAUCACAGUGAAAGCAGUGAAGUGAGCCAGUCAGAGGGAGAGCCCUGGCCUGACAUCGAGAGCUUCAGUAAAAUGCCUUUUGACGUCAGUGUGCAUGAUCCCAAGUACAGUCUGAUGAGCCCGGUGUAUACGGAAAAGCUGGCAGGGAUCAAACAAGGUCAGUGCAAGUGCAGCCAGGCUUACCUCCUGCAAAUCCAAGGAUACCAGAAAAUCAGGACACGAGGCCUGGGGCAGUUCAAUCUUUCGGAACAAUUUAAAUAAUUCUCCCAGUUUUCUCUUCUCUUUCUUAUUUACACACAUCAUCUUUUGAUUUUCUUUUUUUUUUAAGUAUUUAUUUAUUUUUUUAAUUGUAGUUGGAUACAAUACCUUUAUUUAUUUUUAUGUGGUGCCGAGGAUUGAACCCAGGGCCUCACCCGUGCUAGGCAAGCGCUCUACCACUGAGCCACAACCCUAGCCCAUCAUUUGAUUUUCAUACAUUCCUCUCAGGGCAUAAAUUAUAAAAUUCUUGGAAAAAAAUCCUUUUGGAAAAUAGAGGAUGUUUUUUUUCCCCCAGGUACAAGGGAUUUACACACAUAUUAUGGAAUGAUGGUUUUCUACCCCUUUUAUACACAGAAGUAAUAAAGGAAUGCAAAAUUGAGGAGCCCCGGAAACGAGAAACUGUAUCCAUGAUGCUGACCAAAUAUGCUGCCUACAACACCUUUCACCACUGUGAGCAGUGCCACCAGUAUAUGGACUUCACCUCUGCCUCCCAGGUGCAGCUCUCACCUUUGCCCCUGCCUUACAUCUCUGUUACCAAUAGGGAUUUGCGUGUAAGGAUAGGGGCGGAGGGAUAUAACAUAAGCCCCUAGAUAAAGUAUAGCUUAUUUAUGAGAAACAGCUACUCAUUGGUGAGAAAAAUGCAUGAAGCAAUGAUUAGAUGAGCUUUGGACUUACAGGGAUUGUGGGAGGGUAAGCAGCUUAGUUUUAGGGGCUUAAGUUACUUCAUGUGUCAUGUUUAGGUUAAAAAGCUGAGAUGCUUAUCUGUGAUUCUGAAAAAAACUAGAUAUUACAGUAUGCUCAGUAAAAGCCACCGCCCCGCCCCCCCUUGGGUUGUUGACUAAAAUGGCAGGAGUCCAUAUGGUGUGUCCUAACAAGUCUGAUUUUUCACCAAUCUAGGCACAUAUUACUUCUUGGGAUGAUUUUGACCAGUGGAGUCAAUGUUUCAUGCAGUGAAAGAAACACAGAAAGUGAGCCAUUAUCCCUUAGCAUUUGGCUUUUUUUGUGUGUGCUGUGGAUUGAACCCAGACGAUCACGUGAAUGCUUAAGCACUCACUGAGCUACACCCCCAGCACAGUAUUUUUGGCUAGUGCAUCUUUAAACACAAGGGAAUGGUAGCAAAUGACAAUAAAACCUAGAGCCUGUCCAUGCUGCUUUCUGCAAAUUUAUCUUCUUGAUUUUAUUUAUUUAUUUAUUUACUUACUUAUUUAUUUUUCGGAUUAUUUGGAAUUUAUUAUGUCUACUAGGCAUGAAAGUCAGAAAAUCCAGUAGAGAGUUGUCUAUAGGACUGUGGAUCAGUAUACAAUUUGGAGUUGAUAAAAUAAAACACUUAAGGCUUCAGAAAUAAAUCUCUUUAUAUAUUUUUUAUUUGUUCUGAUCAGUUAUACAUGACAGCAGAAUGUUCUUUGAUUCAUUGUACACAAAUGGAGCACAAUUUUUCACUUCUCUGAUUGUACUCUUCUUGAUUUUAAUGAGUUGGCACUGAGCACCUAGAAACAACUCUUGCUUCUUUGAGGCCAUGCUGAGUGGAUCCCCCAACCUGUUUCUGCUCCUCAGGACCAGGUCCUCACCCCUCCCCUGCAUCACAUCCUGAAAUACAAAUGGACACUGGAAAGGACACAUUGAAAAACUGGAAUACAGAUCACCUUUUGUACACUAUUUGCUUGCUUGGUGGGCUACUUUGAAAUCAGCUUUAAUGCUUUACAGAAUACAGAAUAUGCAAGUCCUCUGAUCUAUAAACCAUAAGUUUUUAGAAAAAUUUUAAAACCCCUUUUCAUAAAGGUUUAUUUAUUUUUUGGUACUGGGGAUCUAACCCAUUGAGCUACACCCCCAGCCCUGUUUAUUUUGAGACAGGGCCUCACUAAGUUGCUGAGGGUUUAGCUAAAUUGCUGAAGCGGGUCUUAACCUUGCGAUCCUCCUGUCUCAGCCUCCAGAGUUACUGGGAUUACAGGCAUGCACCCUAUGCCCAGCUUUUUCAUAUAUAAAGUUUCUGUAUGACUACAGUACUAAGUAAUAUAUUUCCACAUCUGUGAAGCAGAAUAAACUAGAAUUUUUUUUUUGAAAGAGAGAGAAUUUUAAUAUUUAUUUUUUUAGUUUUUGGUGGUCACAACAUCUUUGUUUGUAUGUGGUGCUGAGGAUCGAACCCGGGCCGCACGCAUGCCUGGCGAGCGUGCUACUGCUUGAGCCACAUCCCCAGCCCCAGAAUAAACUCGAAUUUAAAGGAAGAACCAUAAUAUUGUUUUUUCUAAGAAAUGUAAUAUUUGGGUUAAAACUAUUGAGAAACCAUUCUGGAUUCUGGUUACUGAGGAAUAACUGAUGUUAUCUUUCAUUAAGCCAAAUAUUGUCUGCAUUUUGUAAAAGCAUGUAAAAACCUAUUAUAUAAUUAUUCAGAGAUAGGCUACUGAGAGCACGUGAACUUCCCAGCAACUUGGCUAGGAUGAGUAAAUGGUCCUUCCCUAAAGCCAGAGUUUGGGACUAAAUGACUGUGUCUUUACAGCUUCCAGUGCAGCCAGGAAAGAUGGUGCCACAGAAGCCAAUUCAGUGGUGUCAGUUCUACUUUGUUUAGAAAGCUCAAAUUCAGUUCAUUCAACCCUGGCUCACAGAGCAUUAGUGUUUCCCCCUGUAACUGGGGGCCUUUGGGAAUGUGCACAUAGCAGAACACACCAGAGGGAGGUCUGAUCUCUGCCUAAGACUGAGCAAUUGAGCCCUAAGAGCAUGAAGAAUGAAAAGACAGUGGCAGCAACAAGUCCUUCAUCCAUGGAGAGGCCACACAGGGCAAGAUGCCUAGCUCUCAUGUCAGUGGAAGCUACUGUGUGUUGAAGCUUCCCACCCUUGUAACUGUUGCUACCCUCAGCCUGAAGAUCUGGUGGCACUUGUAGAUGUCAGUUUGCCUCUUAAUAACAAGGCCAAGGAGGGACCAGGAAGUCUGGAAACCCUGAGCUUACAUUCCCUUUCUUCUUUUCAAAUGUAGAUGUCUGACUCCACCCUUCAUGCAUUCACAUUUUCUUCCUCUAUGUUGGGAGAAGAAGUUCAGCUGUAUUUCAUCAUCCCCAAAUCCAAAGAGAGUCAUUUUGUCUUCAGCAAGCAGGGCAAACACCUGGAGAGCAUGCGGCUGCCUCUGGUUUCAGACAAGGUGGGUGAGAGGUCUAGAUGGUUGCCAGACACCCGGCACUAGAUCAGGUUCUCCAAGCUGCUCACAUCUGAGGGUUUUACUUUCCCUUUUUGGUCUUACUUUUUGGUUUUACUUUUCCUUUUCAGCAGAAUUUGAAUGCAGUCAAGAGCCCUAUUUUCACUCCUUCCAGUGGUCGCCAUGAGCAUGGACUCCUAAACCUUUUCCACGCCAUGGAGGGCAUCAGCCACCUUCACCUUCUAGUGGUCAAAGAAUAUGAGAUGCCGCUGUACCGCAAGUACUGGCCCAACCACAUCAUGCUGGUGCUUCCUGGCAUGUUCAACAAUGCAGGCGUGGGUAAGGGGCCCCCUGGGAUGGGGAGAAGGGCUAAGCAAACUGAGCUCCAUUCCCCUGCCAUAAAACUUCCAAAGGUUUCUCUGCCUCUGGACGGUGUCCUGCUCUCCUGGCCAGAAGUCUUUUGACGCUUUGCAUUUCUCUAUGCCCCUUACUACCUUUUCUGUAGUUUUGCAGAAAUUUUAACUUCCAAGGACUAGUAACUAAGGAAGUCACUGUAAUAUUGAGCACCCUGGGAAGGGUUUAAGAUUCUUCCCAGGAACUUGGUCCUUUGAGGCCAGAAUGUAACCCUGAAAAGAAAGAUGAUUUGAGGGGAGGUAGUGUUUCACCUGUUCUUAAGAGUCCCUGACUCACUGUCCUCCUAGGAGCACAUACCAAGUGCUAGCAGACGGCAACCCGUCCAGGGAAUUGGAAGAAUCAUUCCUGCUUGGAAGGAGUCUUUUCUGCUUUUCCCCAGGGAGUUUAGAAAUAAUGAAUUCAUUUCUCAAAGGGGCAAUGGUUGCAGAAUAUAAAGCAGAGCUGUGGGGAGGUAAUGGAGAUACCAAGAACACUUCAUUU